ACGGACUCUUUUCUUUGAAGCACAUGGUACCUUGACAGACUGCUUCUAAACAAUCUUCGGCAACCACGUCAACAAUAAUGUAGACAUUUGAUUUGUAUUUGGAAAAAAUAUGUUAUGCGUUGAAAUAUCCAAUGCUGCGUGUUCAAAAGAGUGUUACGGUAUUUUUAUACAACUGAACUGAAUCGAAGCUAACAGCAACACGACUUGAUUGCAAUAACGCAGUUUUCAGGAUGGCCCAAACAGACAGCAAAGUCCUGUUUCUGGGAGCUUUGGCUGGGGUGGCUGGCAUCGGCUUGGCUGUGGCAUGUUACCAGGGCUAUAAAAUGAAACGAAGGGCCUCAUUGCCAGCGCACUACGUACACACUAAUAAUGAACUUGUACCUGGCAUGACGUUUAUGAAUAGUCCCGGUCUACCCGGGGACCAGAUUGAGGUACUGGACCGCCUCGAGGCCCUACUACAAUGUGUGUCAGAGCUGAAAGACGAAAUGAAGGCAUUGAAGAAUGCCUUACCGAUGCGGCACGGUCAAGUUGGCGAAGACCUGAGUGCACCUCAUAGGUCAGAUGCACAUCGAGCUGCUCCUCUUCACAGGAUCACACCAACACGGAGGAAAAGGGCUGGAGGCAGCAUCACUGGGGCCAUAGGAGGUGGGCGAAGUUCUGAAGAAGCGGAAAGUGAGGGAGGGUACAUAACCGCACUGACUGACUCGGAUGAAGAGGAACAAAGUGAUGAUGAACAAUGGGAUGAAAGGGAGGAGACAACAGACAGGUUAACUAGCUUACUUGAGAGGAUUGACUCUUUGCAUCAGGGCACAGAGGCUGACAAAAGAGAAAGUCUUCACAUCCUAUCAACUCAACGAGACGAGUUUGGACAGAGCUCCGAAUUUCUUUGGCGACUGAUCAGAGCGUAUAGCGACGUUCAUGACCUCAGCGCCACGCUUGAAGAAAAGAAGAAUCAUGCAGAAACUGGAAAGAAGGUCGGUGAGGAUGCGGUGGCGCUGAACCCCACAUGUGCUGAAAGCCACCAGUGGUAUGCCAUUAUGUGCGGAAUUAUGGCGGAAUAUGACACCGUCCAGAACAAGAUCAAGAAUGGCUACAUUUUUAAGGAUCAUCUGGAUAAAGCCAUCCAGCUGAAGCCUCAAGACCCCCUGUCUUACUACCUGCUGGGCCGCUGGUGCUAUGCCGUAGCCCAGUUAUCUUGGCUUGAGAGGAAAGUUGCCACUGCAUUAUUUGGAGAACCUCCCAGCGCCACCGUUGAAGAUGCACUGAAGAAUUUUCUGAAGGUUGAAGAUAUCCAUCCAAGAUAUUCCAAACUCAACUAUGUAUUUCUUGCAAAGUGCUACAGAGACAUUGGGUACAGGAAGAAGGCAAGGGAGAUGUGUGAGGCUGCUGCGUCAAUGCAGUCGCUUUCAAAGGAGGAUGAAGACGCACAGAAAGAGCUUGAACUUCUCCGCCCGGAUCUUGGACUGUUAGACCCGAAUGAUGAAUCGGACCUGUAGCUUCUGCUCCUUCUAGGCAACUUGUGUGUGCAGUGAGUACACUGAGACAAUAAGCGUUCUCUCAAUGAGAGGCAAGUUGUUGAGUUCCAUCGUCACUGGGAGCAAAUUGGUUCAUUUGAGGCAAUGUUGACUUGAAGAUGAACAUUAGUUUAUUGUUAUGGUUGGUGUGGCUGGGUUCUGGUCCAUUCCCAGCGCUCCUUCAGAAAGCGAAUUUUGUUGUUGGAGUUGUGGGCACUGCUCAGAUGAUGACAAUUCCUGUUUUUGCUGAUAGUUGGCUCUAUUUUUCUGCACUCAACUCGUCGCACCUACCUGACAUGAUUUAUUCGCUCCAAUACGCAAUGAUCACACUGUUGUUUUAUGAACACAUUGAUUGAAGUGAAAGUCCUCAACAUCAAAUAGAACAAAAGCACAGUUGAAGUAGAAAUAGAGAAAUGUCACGUCAUGGAACACAUUGGAAGGGAGAAACUUACUGCAUUCUACCAAAGUGUGAGUUGUACUUUUUAUCAUUUAUUUUUAUGGAUGUGUUGGUCGGUCAAACUGUGUCCCAACAUGAAAGCACUACGUAAGCUUUUUUAUUUUUAGAUAAAAUAUAGACUAUUUGGUAACCGAAAAAAACUUGUUAAAUUUGAAUAAAUGGAUGUUAACAUACUUACUGCGUUUUAAUUUUCAUUGGUAAGUCCGAGUCCCAUCACUUGUGAGCUCUUUUUAGAACAGACACAUGGGCUACGUUUGUUGUCCUUGGGGCUAAUAAAUACACACUGGCACCAUUUUUUUUUUUUAUUUAUCACAAUGUACAUUAAUCUACAGCACAAAAAGGCACCUAUGUUUGCGGUAUCUUUUUUUUUUUUUUAUCCAGACAAACAGUAAUUCACAAGGUGGUGGGGAAAUGCGUUUAUAUGAUCCAUGCAGUUAAAUGGAGCCAUUAGCAGCAGGUUUGGUAAUAUUUAGUCUUUGGAGCAGAAACCUUGGAUGUGUGACCCAGAAAAAUUUAAUGUCGUUUUGACUGAAUAAUAAAUUAUGAGUGUUGGGGCUUUGAUUUUAUAGUUGUUUUAAUCAUUCCUUAUUGCUUAGACAACUGUUCUCAAAAUGUAGACCUGAUGCAGGUCAGACAUAUGUUUAUUUCAUUCUCCAUCUUUGCGUUGUGUGUCUAAAAUCAUUUUAAAAAGUGCUUUUGUAAAGGAAAAAUAAUAAUAAUUUGUCGCUUUACACAGGUACUUGUACUGGCAAGAUGAUGUUGCAUGUAUGUGAUUUUGUUCUAUUCUACGCCAAAGCAAUUCUGUUAUUUGUUGAGACUUGUGUGAACUGAAUCAUGGAUGAAUGUGUAAUUAAAUCUGGGAAACCGAUGAGAGUAUUUCAAUCCAUUUGUGUGCCUCUAUUGGACCUUGUUAAAUUCUGUAAUGAUUUUUAUUAUGCACUUCAAGACGUGGAUUAUCGAUAUCCCCCUCCCCAUCUGUUUCAACCAUAUUGCCUGCAUCUUUACUCACGUUGCUGACUUUUUGUUCAUGCAUUUUCCUUCCAAAUGAAUUUAAAUGACAUGUAGGAUACUGUUAUGAAAAUGUUUUCCUCUUCCUUCUGCAUGCAUCACUGAAGAGGCCUGCAGAAUUCGAUGAAAUGCAUUCUCAGGAAAACUGAGGACAGGUAGUCUGCGGGUGCGAUUGCUCGCCUCUAAUCUUGAUUUUGGUACAUGCGGGUCUUAAGGAAUGAACUUUUUGGUUGCAUAACAGUGUGUCAUAUUUUGCCAGUGUUCUGUCUUCUCUAGUUGAAAUUCCUGAGGAAGGAUGAAUUGAAUCUUUUAAUUAUUUGAAAUCACCUCUACUUUCAUGUUACCUUUGUGUUUUGAAUAGCCUCUCACGCGACAUAGCCCUGCACUUAAGUUUCUACUGUUCUCCGCCCUUCAAAACAUUUGUGGAAUUCCCUGUUUGUUUUCUUCAUGUCUCAGCUGAUUUACUGGCACAAUUUCAAUGUGGAUGUGACUUGCGCAAGUGCUUGUCAAUUGUGGAAAAGUAAACAUCCGCAAUAGUAAAUAAUAUUUCUGGAGAGUUGGUAGUUUUGUUUCGGAAAGAAAAUAAUGCCCAUACAGAAAAGGGAGGUCUACUUUUAAAAUACACCUUGCCAUUUAUUUUAUUUUUUUUCCAGUUGUGUGACUCCAACCAUGACCUUGCAGUUUCAGGUUCUACGAUGGUGAAAGUUGAAAAUCGAUUCUAGCCUUUCUAAAUUCUUUGCACUGACGCAGUUAGGAAAGCUUAUCUGUGUGAGGUACUUUGCAUAUUAGAGUGGAAUUCUACAAACGUUCCUCCCUUGCGCUCUUUAUCUUGACAUCAAUUUCUCAGUUGGCAACUCUGCACGUUUAACUUUGGGUGUUUUCAUUCGUAACAUUAUAGUUUGCAAUCUGUACCAACCGGGUCUUCAUCUUGAACGUGCCAGUGAUAAAAGAAGCAAGUCGUCAACUUUAUCAGUAAUCAUCUACUGUACUUUUAUCACACUUUGUUAUGCACUCUGCAGGUCUCAAGCUGAUCAAGUACAGGAUGUCCUGGCAGAGAAAGAUAACAGCUGUGCAUGAAAAAAAAAAAAAGCAUCCCCCAAACACUUCCAUUUUGUCCCUACCUGGCCUGGCUGAGUGAAGGUGAGGAAGGAGAAAAUCUAGGUACAGUGAUAUGUGGACCACACUUUAAAAUAUAAAUCAAAACAGCAUGAGAUUUCUGCAGUUGUUGACCAAAUAUUUUGAUUGGCCCACUUGGCUGUUACAUGGAAGUCUAAAAACAAUUCGAAAUGUUUGUUUUGCAUCUGAUUUAAUUAGUUAUAGAUAUAUCAAAUUAGAAUUCCUGUAAAAAAAAUAAUCAGGAAGUAAAUAAAUCAAUGUUUAAUAGGGGAUGAAAUGGGCAGUAGGCAUGAGUAAUAAAGAAUACAGAAUUUUAUAUAAUAAAUGUUCCUUAUUGUUCCUUCAGUGAAAUAAAAAUACUGUUGUGACCUAAUGUAUGUGUAUAUUAGAUGGUGCAUCCAUACAAAAGUAGCAUGUACAGUAACUUUCACAAUUUAUUAUCUUCAACAUUUGGUAUGACAUCAGCCUUAUUACUGGAUCACUGUCUAGCAGGUCUUGUUGAGCUUAUUUGCCUGGUUAGGUUCCCAGUCAUCACUGGUUGCGUUAAAUCAGUGCUUGUUAAUUAUUUUCUCUUACGCCAGGAAGAAAAAAACAUUUCACACUUUUUUCAACUCUCCUCAGUGACUAUAAAUAGUGUCAUUUGUCUAUUAAAUUGUAAUGUAAUUAACGUGUUACCCGGGUCACGGACAGACCCCCCCCCCCCCCCUUCUCUGCCCCACUAUUGAGAGGCACUGCAUUGAAUGAUGACCUCCAGUUGGAAGAAGGCUUUGAAUACAUCUCCAGUGUCAUCUAGAAUACAUCAGUUCCUGAUAGGUUUGCUGUUUGUGAUCAUGUCAGUUGACAUUUCAUCUCAUAAAUACGUUCAGUUCAUUUUCCUGCUUAUUUUUCUGACUUUUGAUCAUUUCUUUUAAGAGUCCGAGGGCUCUGCCUUGGUGUCCUCGUGGAAAGCCUGGCUGGACACCUCUUGGAGCAGCUUCAUGUCAUCCCGCAGAGACAUAGCUAUUACAAAAGAGUUUGGUUUGAGAGUCAGACCGUAGGUAUAGCCCAGGUCGGGCGGCCUGGCCGGGUCUGUGCUCAAGUGGCACUGGUGAGCCAGAAGAGCUGUGAAGAGGAAGAUCUGAAACUUAGACAACUCCUCUCCAAUGCAGCGCCGCUUCCCCAGAGAGAAGAUGAGGACCGAGUUGCACAGGUCCUUGUUGAGAUCACCACAGGGGUGCAGGAAACGCUGGGGGUCGAAUUUCUCAGGCUGGGACCAGAUGGCGGGAUUGUGAUUGGAGGACCACUGGUUUACAAAAACGACUGUGUUCUUUGGUAUGCUGUAACCAUUGAUGGAGGUGUCUGUGGUGGUGUAGUGAGGGAUGGUGAGCGGCACGAAGCUGGUGAAACGCAUCACCUCGUAGAUGAAGGCCAUGACAUAAGGCAGCUCAGCCUGGUCCUCCAUGGAGGGGAGGCGGCUGCGGUCCACCACUUUGUCCACUUCUUCUCGGAGGCGCACCUGCAUCUCCGGGUACCUUUGAAUCCAUCGUGGAGAAAAGAUACAAAGUCAAAAUACAUCUGAUUUGGAAUUUGUUGACUCUCAAGCUGUGUUGAUUGUUUAAACACUUAUCAGUGAAGGUCAAGGAUGAGGUCAUUGGCAAAUAUGAUGUCACCACAUCAUCUUAAAACAUUUAACCCCGUCUCCCACUAAGCGGAGAACAAUUAUGGGUGUUUUUGAGGGCAGCGAUUGUUGCUGUCACCGAUGUAAUCGCCAACAUCACGUCUUUUGUCUGAAAUGAGGCAAUUACAUUUCCGACGCUAUCUGUCCCUCGUUUUUUUAGUUGGGAUCGGCACCAUUGGUCGCCACUUAUCCGCCCAAUCAAGAACAUCGAAUUUGUUAAGCUCAAAGGGAAACUUUUUUGGAUGAAGUCUUGGACAAUAUGAAGAUAUGUCACAGCAUUGCAUUUUAGAGUCGACGGUGGAGAUUUUUUGUUUUAUUUCUUAGAAGAAGAAAAAAAAAUUCAAACUGUCAAUAAUGGUAACACUGUCUAUUGUUAAAGACAUUUUGAGAGGUAAAACACUAAUUCAAAUUCGUACAACUUAAAAAUAUAAUUAUUGACAUUUUAGGUUAGAGUGGAGAAAUUGAAAUGUUUUAAAUUAUCUCAUCAUUUGAGUGACAAGUAGUUCUGUAAGCUCUUGUUUUUUUGAAAAUUCAGGACAGACAAUUUUCAAAAAUAUUUCGUUGAACUGCCCAACCUAAAAUUUUAAUUUUGAGUUCACUCAAAUUUUCAGUUGAGAUAUUUUAGAAUCACCCACCACCACCAUCCCUCGAAAUUCUUCCAUACUACAAUUGUGCGGUUUUUUUUUAAGUACCAAACAGAAAGGAAAUUGCCUUACUUGACGAGGAUGAUAAAGAUCCAGUGCAGCAUUGUUGACAGCGUGUCUUGACUUGCUCCAAAUAUAUCUACAAGAGUAGCUGGCACAUAGUCCUUAGCCGAUGGAUGGCCAGUUUUCUCAUUGAUUUUGUCCAUGGCCCCUAUCAAAGCAUCAGUCAUGUCCCUGAUGGAGCCCGACUGAAAAGUUUUCCUGUGCGCUGUCACCUUUUCAAGAAUAAACGCGCUGAACUCCCUGUUGAGCCUCUUGAAGUUGUCAAACAACGUUUUGAUGGGGUUGGGGAAGUACUGGAGCCAGGGCAUCACGUCCACGAUGCUUCCUGCGCCGACCGUCUCGGUGAACUGGCUGUUCCUGCCCACCAACUCGCGGAACUCCUCGUUGUCGUACGAGUACCUCUUCCCGAAGCACACUGCGCUCAUGAUGUUGGCCGUGGACACCACAAUACCCUCCAUGGGUGCGAAAAACUUCUGCUGCUCGGUGUUGCGCACGAAGAGCUGCACAAGCUCUUUAAAUUCACAGAGGAUGUGCCGCUCAAAUGUUUUCUUCGUCAUCUGAUUCCCUGUGGAGAACAUCCUCACAGUGGAAUGAGCCACCCUGCGCUGCACCUUCCACCUGUCCGAUGUGGUACUGAAGGCGAGCGCGUUGCCACCUGAGAUGUACUGGAACGAGGUGAAAUCAGGUCUGCCCGCAAAUGCCAAGCCUUGUUUAACCAACGCCUGCUUAAUGGAUUCCCUGUUCAGCACCACCACGCUCCGACAGCCCAGUUUGAUUUGGAAGACGUCGCCGUAUUUUUCUGCCAUGCGCAUGAAAUACAGGUGCGGCGCUUUGCCGAUUUGCGCUGCGUUGCCGAUGAUGGGCCAGGGGAACGGGCCCGGCAAGCGCGCAACCGAGCGCUUCUGGAACCAGCGACAUAUUUGGAAGGACAGCAAGAGGGUGAUACAAGUCACUAACAGGCUCGUCAUAUUCGCUCCGCCGCUCUCAUCCAGCCUCAGUGACAUCUUGACUCGUCCUGCAGGUGGGAGGACGAUAAUAAUUUGAAAGUGGUGUUAUUGAUAUGCGCUAGCACUGAAUUCAAUAUAUCUGGCUAAAAAAAAAAAAAAAAACAUUAAUGCAAAGCUUAAAUUUCUCUCUGUUUUCAACAUGUCAACGUGCAGCCUGUUGCAUGCCUGCUCUGGUCCCGACAUGGUGUGUGCAGGUUUUCUGAUUUUUUUUAUUUAGGUGUCGUGCAGAGGGUGUCACCCCAGCCUGCAAACAUCACCUCCUCCAACCCUCCCUUCCUGCAUGCUCUAACUCUACAUAUAGGCAGGUAACCGGCGUAAUAGGUCCCACCAGAGAGUUCAAACGCAAAAUGUCAUUUUCUUGUCAAAUUGAUGAUUGUAUUUAUAAUAUCUAAGAGCUGAAUGAAAUAAACUGUCUUGACAAAAAUAUAUUUGAUCAUAUAUGACUCAAGUCAGAGAGGUAUCAACAAAAUAAUAUGCUUUUAUUCUAGUUUAAUGCUGCGUCUAAUACUUUGCUUACCUUAUAUGUAGUAAAUCAAAUAUUUAACUAACUCUCUGAUUCGGGUGAUGAAGCCCAAUUAAAGGGAAUUUUGGAUGUGCUUUCCAAUUAAACCACCAGGAGGAAGCGGACCCUACGUUGUAAAGCAUUAAUAGCUAAUUAACAAUGACUGCACAAUACACGACGAGGCCCUGUGGCCAGAGCUGACUGGUCUCUGUUUUCCGACACAGCUUUGUAAUGUGAGUCAGUUUAAUUCAUGUUGUAUGUCGAUAUGAUGCGCAAUUUGUGUUUUCGUGAACUGCUGCUCAUGUCUGUUGGCCUAUGGUGGGAUUUGGGGACCCGCUUCAGCACCGCGGACAGCAGCUUGCAACACACUGAUAAAGGCGAGUGAACCCCACGAUUCAGCGAUGGAUACUAGCCUCGCUGGCUUUGGGAAAGUGGCCAGAAUCGGUCAACCUAGUUGCAGGGUAAACGUAUUUUAUGACAUACACGGUCACUUUCACAUCUAUGAACAAUUAUUUGUCGUCAGUGAAUUGAAAUAUAGCUGAUCAAACAAUUAUUAACUGGCUUCUGAGUUUAAAAUGAUCCAGUAAUUUGAUAAUAUAAAUGAUCAUUUAUUUAUUUAUUUAUUUAUUUAUUUAUUUAUUUAUUUAUUUAUUUAUUUAUUUAUUUAUUUAUUUAUUUAUUUAUUUAUUUGUUCACAGUCAUAAUGGCCCUCCGGAGGAAACCACAGAGAAAACACAAAAUUCAAACUUGAACAUUAGAACUGCGAGACAGAUGAGCUAACUGUAAUCCACCCCUACAAACUAUUAUUAUUAUUAUUGUUAUUAUUAUUAUUAUUAUUAUUGACCCCCUCUCAGAUAUAGAGAAAAAAUACAACCACUACAUUUUGAUAAUAAUAAUAAUAAUAAUAAUAAUAAUAAUAAUAGUGAUUUUCCCGUGUUAUCAAGAUGAAAACAUAUGCAACAUAAUUGUGCUAAAAUGAUCUUAAAUAGGCCUAAAAUGUCCAAAAUUCUGUCCAAAAGUAAGACCAUAAAAAUUUGGAGGAAAAGUCAAAACUAAACUUACCAAGCGUCCAGAUUUCUUCCCUUGAUGUCAAAUAAGUUGAGAUGCAAAAGCGGUGGUGCAUUUGUACUUCAAAAUAUAAAGGGUGGAGACAAACCAGUGUGUGGUGUGAAGCCAGCCUCCUUUGCCAAGUUCAUAAACUAAACCAUACAACGUCACCCUCACCUUUUUCUUUCAAAGAUUUGUUUGCAAAACUAAUCCUGCCUAUUCUCAUUUGUUUGGGUUCUUAUAAAUUAUAAAGAAACAUUAUUUAUCUUUAUACCUCUUCUAACCUCUUACUUUCUCUCUCUCAAUACCACCAGAUUUAUGUGUUGUCAGAAAACCAAGAUGGGAAGAACCUGGGAGAUGCCACCAUGGCUUCUACUUUGAUAUGACUCUUCUGCGGAUUAUGAAUUUCUGCAAUUCAGAAGUCAAGAGUGACAUCAGCACAGCUACAGGUGUGAGCUCGGGAGUUGGAGGCCGCUAAUGAGCCGCCAGAGAGAUCGUCUGAUCAUGUUGCCACAACAUUAUGUGAAUGUCAGUGCUCUUCAAUGUGGAGGUAGGGAUGGGGUCUUGGCAUAAUUGGACAAUCAAUGGGAAAAAGAAGCACAAGCGACAUGGGAGCAGUGGACCGCUGUUGUGAUAUUUAACGAUGAUGAUUUUUUUUUUACUAUUCUUAUUGGAGCUUCCACACGUCAAUCACAGCUGAAAAUUUUAACAGAUUCUUCAAAACAUCACAAAAAGGAUAACCAUAAAUUAAGCCAGCAUUCAAAACAUAAAUCGUACCAUAUUACAAAAAGAAGCAUAUUGAAAGUCGAUAUUUAAUUUAAAAAUAAUCAGGCAAAUGUUCUUCAGCUACACAAAAACAUCACACCUCUGUGCGAGUGUAGGUACAUCGUUGACCACAUUUCCUGUCUGGCCCGGUGACUUCAAUGGUCAGAAUGUUUAAGUUGAACUUUGGGUAGCAGUGCUGACAUGUCCAAUUGAAACGUAAUGUAUGAAGCUUCCCAUUCUUGGCCAGUUUUUGUGCGCUUGAAGGCACAAAGGCAGACAUGCUCUAAUAACCCAGACUGAAUUCUAAUUACAUCCUAGUGUCCCUUGCUUGUCCCAGGAUUGACAGCAUGACCCCAAACUGCUGGCUCUUCUGACAAUGAGAGCCUGUUAGAGAUGUUUGAUGGUAUAAUAUAGUCCAUGCACCAAAAGACUUAUGUCUUUGUGUUGGCUUGCGUUUGGAGUUAUAGAAUGGAGAUAUUUACAUUUACGCUAUUUCCACUUUCUGUGUAUACGUAGAAAACGUCUUUGCUAUUUUUAUAUAUUUGCUCAACAUACAAUGCCUUUACUUUGACGAGGAUUUAUGAAUGAAGAAAAGCAUUUCCAUUCAUAAAGAUGUGUGUGUGUUAUUCCCAACACGCCAGACUGUCUUUUGUAUGUGAUCUCCAUUCUUUGUAGUUUACAUUCCACUAAAGUAGGUAAUGGAUUGCGCUAAAAGACGCCAAACUGGACUGACGAGGUCGUAGUAGCAGAUGCACGCAAUGCCCUUUAAUUUCUAGUCUUUGCAUGCAAGCACCUUGUUGGGUUUUUUUUUUUAGCAAUUAGGGAAAACCUGUUUUCUAAAUGCUUUUAGACUGUGCACAAAAAACACGACUUCCUCUGCAGUCGGUGGCGCGAAUGAUUGUUCAGCGGUAAGAUGAGCUGUCGGAGAGCCAUUGUUACAUCACAAUCAUUGCAUGCAGCCGCUGUGCCACAUAACUAUGUUGCAUGUGUCUUCUCACGAAAGAUCAGGCGAGGGAGGGCCCUUGCAUGAUCUUCCGUGAGAAGGGAGCGUAUGCAGACGUAGCGCAAUAUCCAUAAAUGAUCUCUUAGAGGUGACGAUUGAGAGACUGUUGCAUCAGAUAACUGUUGAGCUUGUGCUCCUCACACCUUCUUGAAUUUGUCUACACUGUUUUUGCAUUAUUCACAUGUCCUGAAUGUUGUUAGUCACCUAAAUGUUGAACAGAGGGUGUGUUUCUACCGAAGUCAAAUUCCUUGUUUGGCACGCUCAAACAUGGCGAAUAAAAAAACUCUUGAACUCUUGAA